rnacentral:rRNA from 2 species
GGCCUUGUACACACCGCCCGUCACACCACGAGAGUUUGUAACACCCGAAGUCGGUGAGGUAACCUUUUUGGAGCCAGCCGCCUAAGGUGGGAUAGAUGAUUGGGGUGAAGUCGUAACAAGGUAGCCGUAUCGGAAGGUGCGGCUGGAUCACCUCCUUUCUAAGGAA